GCCCCCUUGCCCACCCUUGUGUAUUAUUACUUUGUUGCUUUGGCGAGCUGCCUUCGGGCCUUGUAUGCUCGCCAGAGAAUACCAAAACUCUUUUUAUUAAUGUCGUCUGAGUACUAUAUAAUAGUUAAAACUUUCAACAACGGAUCUCUUGGUUCUGGCAUCGAUGAAGAACGCAGCGAAAUGCGAUAAGUAAUGUGAAUUGCAGAAUUCAGUGAAUCAUCGAAUCUUUGAACGCACAUUGCGCCCCUUGGUAUUCCGGGGGGCAUGCCUGUUCGAGCGUCAUUUCAACCCUCAAGCUUAGCUUGGUAUUGAGUCUAUGUCAGUAAUGGCAGGCUCUAAAAUCAGUGGCGGCGCCGCUGGGUCCUGAACGUAGUAAUAUCUCUCGUUACAGGUUCUCGGUGUGCUUCUGCCAAAACCCAAAUUUUUCUAUGGUUGACCUCGGAUCAGGUAGGGAUACCCGCUGAACUUAAGCAUAUCAAUAAGCGGAGGAAGGAC
rnacentral:rRNA from 1 species